rnacentral:rRNA from 1 species
UACAGAGGGGGCAAGCGUUGUUCGGAAUUACUGGGCGUAAAGGGCGCGUAGGCGGCCUUCUAAGUCGAACGUGAAAUCCCCGGGCUCAACCCGGGAACUGCGUCCGAUACUGGAAGGCUUGAAUCCGGGAGAGGGAUGUGGAAUUCCAGGUGUAGCGGUGAAAUGCGUAGAUAUCUGGAGGAAUACCGGUGGCGAAGGCGGCAUCCUGGACCGGCAUUGACGCUGAGGAGCGAAAGCUAGGGGAGCAAACGGG